AACAGGUAUGGUUUUUAGUGAAGGGGUUUUACUCCCACAUUAAUUUAUACAUUUAAUCACAACAACCCACACCAAUAAGGCUCUAUGCCACACCGCUAGCCUUGGAGAGCAUCUUCAAGGAUGCUGUUUCAAUACUUGCUAUAUUAGAUACUCAUAAUAAAAUGUGCCUGGAAAUUCAAGCCAGAUGUGCAGAAAAAGGUACUGGCUUUACUGAGACUGAUGUAAG